GAUGAACGCUGGCGGCGUGCUUAACACAUGCAAGUCGAACGAAGCACUUUAUUGGAUUUUCUUCGGAGAUGAAGAUGUUGUGACUGAGUGGCGGACGGGUGAGUAACGCGUGGGCAACCUGCCCUGUACCGGGGGAUAACAGCCGGAAACGGCUGCUAAUACCGCAUAAGCGCACGAGAGCGCAUGCUUUUGUGUGAAAAACUCCGGUGGUACGGGAUGGGCCCGCGUCUGAUUAGCUUGUUGGCGGGGCAGAAGCCCACCAAGGCGACGAUCAGUAGCCGACCUGAGAGGGUGACCGGCCACAUUGGGACUGAGACACGGCCCAA
rnacentral:rRNA from 1 species